rnacentral:rRNA from 1 species
UACCACAUCCAAGGAAGGCAGCAGGCGCGCAAAUUACCCACUCCCGGCACGGGGAGGUAGUGACGAAAAAUAACGAUACGGGACUCAUCCGAGGCCCCGUAAUCGGAAUGAGUACACUUUAAAUCCUUUAACAAGGAUCUAUUGGAGGGCAAGUCUGGUGCCAGCAGCCGCGGUAAUUCCAGUUCCAAUAGCGUAUAUUAAAGUUGUUGCGGUUAAAAAGCUCGUAGUCGAAUUUGUGUCGCGCGCCGCUGGUUCAUCGUUCGCGGUGUUAACUGGCGUGCCGCGGGACGUCCUGCCGGUGGACUUAGCUCGUCAGAGCGGUCCAAUUUAAUCUUGCCACGGUGCUCUUCAUCGAGUGUCGAGGUGGGCCGGCACGUUUACUUUGAACAAAUUAGAGUGCUUAAAGCAGGCUAAAAUUUUGCCUAAAUAUUGUGUGCAUGGAAUAAUGGAAUAGGACCUCGGUUCUAUUUUGUUGGUUUUCGGAACCCCGAGGUAAUGAUUAAUAGGAACGGAUGGGGGCAUUCGUAUUGCGACGUUAGAGGUGAAAUUCUUGGAUCGUCGCAAGACGGACAGAAGCGAAAGCAUUUGCCAAAAACGCUUUCAUUGAUCAAGAACGAAAGUUAGAGGUUCGAAGGCGAUCAGAUACCGCCCUAGUUCUAACCAUAAACGAUGCCAGCUAGCGAUCCGCCGACGUUCCUCCGAUGACUCGGCGGGCAGCUUCCGGGAAACCAAAGCUUUUGGGUUCCGGGGGAAGUAUGGUUGCAAAGCUGAAACUUAAAGGAAUUGACGGAAGGGCACCACCAGGAGUGGAGCCUGCGGCUUAAUUUGACUCAACACGGGAAACCUCAUCAGGCCCAGACACCGGAAGGAUUGACAGAUUGAGAGCUCUUUCUUGAUUCGGUGGGUGGUGGUGCAUGGCCGUUCUUAGUUGGUGGAGCGAUUUGUCUGGUUAAUUCCGAUAACGAACGAGACUCUAGCCUGCUAAAUAGGCGCUAUAGACAUCUUAAAGGCCCGUUUUGUCCAAAGUUCGCUUUGUGGCUAACGCGGUUUUUACUGUCUGCGUUGAUUAUAAUCUUCUUAGAGGGACAGGCGACUUUUAGCCGCACGAGAUUGAGCAAUAACAGGUCUGGAUGCCCUUAGAUGUUCUGGGCCGCACGCGCGCUACACUGAAGGAAUCAGCGUGUCUUCCCUGGCCGAAUGGUCCGGGUAACCCGCUGAACCUCCUUCGUGCUAGGGAUUGGGGCUUGCAAUUUUUCCCCAUGAACGAGGAAUUCCCAGUAAGCGCGAGUCAUAAGCUCGCGUUGAUUACGUCCCUGCCCUUUGUACACACCGCCCGUCGCUACUACCGAUUGAAUGAUUUAGUGAGGUCUUCGGACUGGUACGCGGUAGCGUUUCGACGUCGCCGAUGUUUGCUGGGAAGAUGACCAAACUUGAUCAUUUAGAGGAAGUAAAAGUCGUAACAAGGUUUCC